rnacentral:rRNA from 1 species
CCUACGGGGGGCAGCAGUGGGGAAUAUUGGGCAAUGGGCGCAAGCCUGACCCAGCAACGCCGCGUGAAGGAAGAAGGCUUUCGGGUUGUAAACUUCUUUUCUCAGGGACGAAGAAAGUGACGGUACCUGAGGAAUAAGCCACGGCUAACUACGUGCCAGCAGCCGCGGGAAUACGUAGGUGGCAAGCGUUAUCCGGAUUUACUGGGUGUAAAGGGCGUGUAGGCGGGAAAGCAAGUCAGAUGUGAAAACCAUGGGCUCAACCUGUGGCCUGCAUUUGAAAAUGUUUGUCUUGAGUACUGGAGAGGCAGACGGAAUUCCUAGUGUAGCGGUGAAAUGCGUAGAUAUUAGGAGGAACACCAGUGGCGAAGGCGGUCUGCUGGACAGCAACUGACGCUGAGGCGCGAAAGCGUGGGGAGCAAACAGGAUUAGAUACCCCUGUAGUC